CUGACUGUAACUCCUUUUGUAAGGGUUCCAGACAGGGCAGGAAGCAGGUGGUCAAAAAGUCAUGUGGCGUCACACUGUAUAUCCCGUGCUGGCAGG